CAAAUUAAUCUCUCUCUCUCUCUCUCUCUCCCUCCCGAGGAAGCCAUCUCUCUUCUUCUUCGUCCUCCGAUGAACCACUUGUCCUCCAACUACAGCAAACCCUUCCUCCGACACCAUCUUGCUCAGCUCCGGCAGUACAAGACCGUCGGAAGCCCGCCACAGAAGUUCGAGUACGAGCUGUACUCGUAGCACUCAACGAUGACCUCGUCCUAGUCAAAUAGACGGUUCGAUGAGGCGUUGAGAUCGUCUUCGUCAAUUCUGAGGGUUUUACUGUGACCGAGGUGUUCUGGAUCACCACCGACGACUUCGCCGGGCCCGAGGAGACCACACACUAACCACCUCACCUUCCCCGGCAUUCUCAGUCUUAGAGAAGAAAAUGAGCUGCAUUUGAUUCGGCUCUCUUCGGAUGGAACUGAACUGGUAUACGAUUAUGUGAUGGGAAAAUCUAAGACUCACCCCUAGUCAAUUAAUUGCAUAAUUGAGGAACGUUGCUUUGCGCUGGUGGAGAAGUUACAAAAUGAGGCGUGCGGGGACAAUAGAAUUACAUCAUGACAACCAAGUUUUUUCUUCAAAAGGGUGAAAUUCCCGAAGUUUGGCAGAAUUAUUCCCCUUUUCAUUUGCAGUAGUAGAUUACGAAAAUCAUGUGAAUUUGGAUAGUGAAGCCUCCAUUGACCAAGAGAUCAUCCGGCCAACCAAGAAAUGUUGAAAUGAAGUCUGGUGUUGAAGGUGGCAAAAUAAUGCCUAUGGUUAGUGUAGUGUGGUAGAGCUUGACAACAAGAAACUACAACGGAUGCCAUCUGAAAAAUCAAAAAUGACAUUAGCAUUACAACAUUGACAGAAAAAGGUUCCUCGUCAUUCACCGAGGGGAGGGGUCAUGACCAAAACAGAAACAGGAAUACUUGAGAAAUACAAAGUUGUGCAGCUUGCAGAUUUAUAUAAGGGGUUCAAACCAGUUGUAUUCAUGUAAAAGGUAGAACAAAUUGGUUAUUAGUUACUCAUAUCCUUCAAAUCCCACAGCAACAGCUUCACACUAAAAGGCAUUUUGGAAUAAAUUGGGCUUUGCUUGAUCCAAAGACCUCGGUUGAAGUUCAUUGUUUCUGUCAAGGAGUUGCUGCCAUGGGUCAUGAUGCCUCUUCAGAUAGUGUUAAAUAGUCUAUGACCUCUUUUCGUUUUGGGGGUGGUACCCUUCAAGGUCACUUGCUGGCUUGGAUCAGGAAAGUGACAGUUCAAAGUUUGGAUGGUUAUAUGUCAAUACGUAGGUGAAAGUCAAAUGUUCAACAACUCAGAAAUGUUUGAUCUCAGCUCCAAUAAUGUUACAGAUUCUCUUGAGGUAGUUCCAUAUUUGAAGUACUCAUGAGAGGGGACCUGAUUGAAGAGGAAAAUUGCGUGGCAUAUAGGAAUGACAAUUCGUGUUCCAUAUUUGGCAUUUGCAAUUGCAUAUUCCAUGCUUUUGCCCAAUAAUGCUGAAUGAUGAACAACCAUCAAGGUUUGAACUACAGUAGAUACAAGGGGCAACCGGCAAUCUCCCUUGCUGAUAUUCUCUAUUAUUAUUGAACAUUAGUUUGUAUUUAACAUACAAGGAAUUUUGGUUGUCAUUUUGAGUUGGACAAAGCCAUUGGAGAAGUCACAUUACAAUCAUAUU